CUCUGGAUUUUGCAGAGUCGUUUAACCGUUAGGUUUAAGUAGUUACUAUUGAUAUUAGAGUCAAUAGAAUUUGUGAGCUUUGCAAACAUUUUCGAUGUACUGGACAUCAUCUUCAGGCAAUUUGCAAUGUAAAGGAGUGCCCAUUGAUAGCCCUAUGGCUGCCCCCUCGCUGAAAUUGUGCUAAGGGAAGUUGAAACAAGAUCCUAAGAGGAUUGUGAGGAGGCUUGAGAUUCUACUUAAAGUACAUGAAUGAUGAUAUUACAGUUUGGGAGGAAGUACAAGACCCGAAACGCUUGGAAGAACAACUGACAAUAAAAGCAUAUGGACUAGUGUUGGGCCAACAGCAAGUUAGCUGGGAAUCAGUGCACUUUCUAGACAUAAAAGUCCAAAUAAAAGAUAAGAAAUUAGACAGUGGUUUAUAGAAAACCAACAUAUGAGCCAGUUAUCAUACCAAGAUGGUCUUUGGACCAAUCCCAUACAAGAAGUCCGCAUUUAGUUAUUAUUUUAAAAGGGCCAUUACUUAUAUUACUAACCAGCAAGAAAUGGAGGUGGAGCUUAAAUAUAUUUACAACAUAGACCGGAUUUAUGGUUAUAGUAAGCAUUUUUUAGAAACUAUAUACUAUAAGGUACAGCAAUCUGCAAGCAAGGAGGCCACAGAAGAAACAAGAAGUAAGGAAUAUGAACUGAUUCCAUACACGAUGAGCAAUUAUAAGAUUAGAAACUGGCAAAAAAAGCAGAUAGGAAGCUAACUUAUAAAAGACACCUAACCUUGCAUAACUGUCUCAAGAACGAAAAGGAUAGGAGGAAGAAUGAGCAAAAGUCGGGAGUGUACAAAAUACCUAUUAAAAAUAAUAGGACAGAUAGGAAUGAGACCUACAUAGGGGUGACA
rnacentral:lncRNA from 1 species